GACGAACGCUGGCGGCGUGCUUAACACAUGCAAGUCGAACGGAAAGGCCUGCUUUCCCUUGUGGACUGCGGGUACUCGAGUGGCGAACGGGUGAGUAACACGUGAGUGAUCUGCCCCCAACUUGGGUAUAAGCCUGGGAAACUGGGUCUAAUUCCCGAUAGGACUGCAGGGUGGUGCCUGUGGUGGAAAACGAUUUUCUAGUGGUUGGGGAUGAGCUCGCGGCCUAUCAGCUUGUUGGUGGGGUAAUGGCCUACCAAGGCGGCGACGGGUAGCCGGCCUGAGGGGGUGGACGGCCACAUUGGGACUGAGAUACGGCCCAGACUCCUACGGGAGGCAGCAGUGGGGAAUAUUGCACAAUGGGCGGAAGCCUGAUGCAGCGACGCCGCGUGGGGGAUGACGGCCUUCGGGUUGUAAACUCCUUUCGACCGCGAGGAAGCCACCUGGUUGGAAGGGUGGUGACGGUAGUGGUAGAAGAAGCACCGGCUAACUACGUG
rnacentral:rRNA from 1 species